AGUCUGUAAACUCACAAUUUUUUGAGCCUAUUAAAAGUUGGCUCUAUAAGUUCAGAGCCAACUUUUAAUAGGCUCAAAAAAUUGUGAGUU